rnacentral:rRNA from 1 species
UACGUAGGUGGCAAGCGUUGUCCGGAAUUAUUGGGCGUAAAGAGCGCGCAGGCGGUCGAUCAAGUCGAGUGUGAAAGCCCCCGGCUCAACUGGGGAGGGUCAUUCGAUACUGAUCGACUCGAAGGCAGGAGAGGGUAGUGGAAUUCCCGGUGUAGAGGUGAAAUGCGUAGAUAUCGGGAGGAACACCAGUGGCGAAGGCGACUACCUGGCCUGUUCUUGACGCUGAGGCGCGAAAGCUAGGGGAGCAAACGGG